rnacentral:rRNA from 1 species
UGCAGUCGAGGGGCAGCAUUUCUAGCUUGCUAGAAGAUGGCGACCGGCGCACGGGUGCGUAACGCGUAUACAACCUACCUAUAACAGGAGGAUAGCCCAGAGAAAUUUGGAUUAAUACUCCGUAGUACUAUUUAAUCGCAUGAUUUGAAUAAUUAAAGCUUCGGUGGUUAUAGAUGGGUAUGCGUAAGAUUAGCUAGUUGGUAAGGUAAUGGCUUACCAAGGCGACGAUCUUUAGGGGGCCUGAGAGGGUGAUCCCCCACACUGGUACUGAGACACGGACCAGACUCCUACGGGAGGCAGCAGUGAGGAAUAUUGGUCAGUGGAGGCAACUCUGAACCAGCCAUGCCGCGUGUAGGAAGACUGCCCUAUGGGUUGUAAACUACUUUUAUCUAGGAAGAAACCCAGAUACGUGUAUUUGGCUGGCGGUACUAAAAGAAUAAGCACCGGCUAACUCCGUGCCAGCAGCCGCGGUAAUACGGAGGGUGCAAGCGUUAUCCGGAAUUAUUGGGUUUAAAGGGUCCGUAGGCGGGCCAUUAAGUCAGAGGUGAAAUCUUGUAGCUUAACUAUAAAAUUGCCUUUGAAACUAUUGGACUUGAAACAAUUUGACGUGAGUGGAAUGAGUAGUGUAG